GGUGGAGUAUGUGGUUUAAUUCGAUGCCAACGCGAAGAACCUUACCUGGUCUUGACAUCCCGGAGACCCUUAGGAAACUAGGGGUGCUUCCAUCUGGAAGAAUCUGGAGACAGGUGCUGCAUGGCUGUCGUCAGCUCGUGUCGUGAGAUGUUGGGUUAAGUCCCGCAACGAGCGCAACCCUUGCCUUUAGUUGCCAGCAGUUCGGCUGGGCACUCUAAAGGGACUGCCGGUGUUAAACCGGAGGAAGGUGGGGAUGACGUCAAGUCCUCAUGGCCUUUAUGACCAGGGCUACACACGUACUACAAUGGCCGAUACAAAGGGCAGCGACACUGCGAGGUGAAGCCAAUCCCGUAAAAUCGGUCUCAGUCCGGAUUGGAGUCUGCAACUCGACUCCAUGAAGUUGGAAUCGCUAGUAAUCGUGGAUCAGCAUGCCACGGUGAAUACGUUCCCGGGCCUU
rnacentral:rRNA from 1 species